rnacentral:rRNA from 1 species
GACGAACGCUGGCGGCGUGCUUGAUACAUGCAAGUCAAGGAGAACGUUUCUUUCGGGAAACUAUUAAACUGGCGAACGGGUGAGUAACACGUAGGCAACCUACCUUAGAGAUUGGGAUAACUCCGGGAAACCGGGGCUAAUACCGAAUAAUGCAGCGGAUCCUUCGGGAUAUUGUUGUUAAAGCGGGCUUCGGCUCGCACUUUUGGAUGGGCCUGCGCCCGAUUAGCUUGUUGGUAAGGUAAUGGCUUACCAAGGCCAUGAUCGGUAGCUGGUCUGAGAGGAUGAUCAGCCACACUGGGAUUGAGAUACGGCCCAGACUUCUACGGAAGGCAGCAGUAAGGAAUUUUGCGCAAUGGACGAAAGUCUGACGCAGCAACGCCGCGUGAUCGAUGAAGCUUCUAGGAGUGUAAAGAUCUGUCGUAAGGGAAGAAAAACCUGGAUGUAAAUAAUGUUCAGAUUUGACGGUACCUUUCAAGAAAGCACCGGCUAACUUCGUGCCAGCCGCCGCCGUAACAC